GGGCGUGUGGUCUAGUGGUAUGAUUCUCGCUUUGGGAUUGCGAGAGGCCCUGGGUUCAAUUCCCAGCUCGCCCC
rnacentral:tRNA from 1 species